UACUCUCACACUCUCUAAUUAGUUAGAGAGCGGUGGAUUUGGAUGUUGCCUGGUACUUACUGUCAGGCUCAUCUUAAAUAAAUUAGUGCGACUCUUAGUUAAACAUAGUACGGCGUGAUAAGUAACCCUCGCUGUUUUCUGUCUGAUUAGGAGCUCUGUGCUUCAAACCGUCUCAGGACAAUAUUUGAUA
rnacentral:misc_RNA from 2 species